rnacentral:ribozyme from 14 species
UUUUUUUUUUUUUUUUUUUUUUCUUUUCUUUUCUUUUUAUCAAUUAG